rnacentral:rRNA from 1 species
UAGGGAAUCUUCGGCAAUGGACGAAAGUCUGACCGAGCAACGCCGCGUGAGUGAAGAAGGUUUUCGGAUCGUAAAACUCUGUUGUUAGAGAAGAACAAGGACGUUAGUAACUGAACGUCCCCUGACGGUAUCUAACCAGAAAGCCACGGCUAACUACGUGCCAGCAGCCGCGGUAAUACGUAGGUGGCAAGCGUUGUCCGGAUUUAUUGGGCGUAAAGCGAGCGCAGGCGGUUUCUUAAGUCUGAUGUGAAAGCCCCCGGCUCAACCGGGGAGGGUCAUUGGUAACUGGGAGACUUGAGUGCAGAAGAGGAGAGUGGAAUUCCAUGUGUAGCGGUGAAAUGCGUAGAUAUAUGGAGGAACACCAGUGGCGAAGGCGGCUCUCUGGUCUGUAACUGACGCUGAGGCUCGAAAGCGUGGGGAGCAAACAGG